AGCGUAGCGAGGGUGUUACAUCUAGAAUCCUGAGUGAAGCGCGGGAUUUAGGGGUGCCCAAGACUAAGACAGCAUUAUCCCCGAGUUGCAUACUCUGCUUUUCACACCUCGCAAUCAAAAUCAAAAUCAAAAUCUUCGUAUGCUUAUAUAGGUACCUACCUAUCUGUCUUUAGAAAUAUCUGGGAGCAAAUCGUUUAUUACACUUUGAGCACUUUUGAACACUUUUAAUAGUUUCCGGAGUUAGAUUAUUGCUGCCAUCAUCGUCAUCACUCGACAUUUUAAUUUCAAGUUAAAUAAAUAAUUUAUUUCAAUAACACCAUAAGAUAACGUUUCGCACAAGGUUUCGCAGAUAAGUUUUGAAGGAAAUUUUCAAUAUUCUUUAAUCUAUGGUUUGUGAAAGAGAGAGACGCCAUCACUCAUCAAAGCGAGAUAGAAAAUUUAAAUCGCGCGUGUGAGAGGGACACAAUCAUACGUCGAAGCGAGAUAGUUGAUAACU